rnacentral:rRNA from 1 species
GAUCCUGGCUCAGGAUGAACGCUGGCGGCGUGCCUAAUACAUGCAAGUCGAACGAGAGAGCUUGCUCUCGAGUGGCGAACGGGUGAGUAACACGUAGGUAACCUACCUUACAGUUUGGGAUACCCAGAGGAAACUUUGGCUAAUACCGAAUAAUUGAUUGGAAGGCAUCUUCCGAUUCUAAAAGGGGCUCUCAAGCCUCGCUGAAAGAUGGACCUGCGGCGCAUUAGCUAGUUGGUGAGAUAACAGCCCACCAAGGCGAGGAUGCGUAGCCGACCUGAGAGGGUGAACGGCCACACUGGAACUGAGACACGGUCCAGACUCCUACGGGAGGCAGCAGUAGGGAGUUUUCGGCAAUGGGGGAAACCCUGACCGAGCAACGCCGCGUGAGUGAAUGAAGGUCUUCGGAUUGUAAAGCCCUGUUGUAGGGGAAGAACGAUACGAUGAGGAAAUGCUUCGUAUUUGACGGUACCUUAUUAGAAAGCCACGGCUAACUACGUGCCAGCAGCUGC